GGCUCUAAGGAAUAUAGUGAAAAAUGAGUUCAGAGAACAGAUUAGCUUUGGUUGCCUUGUUGGGGGGAAAAGAGUUCUAUUUAACUUGAUAGGGAGAGAAGCCAGGGGUUUAUAAAUCUGUGAUAAAUAUAUGAGGGUUAUGACUGAGGCUUGCUCAUGAAAUGGAAAACCUAAGUGAGUAUACUAUUAGAAUCCCAAGCUCUGGGUCAAAACCAAGAAGUUUAGAAUAUCCUAGAGGUAGGAGUGUCAUCCACGAGCCCAGAGACAUAGGUGAAACGAAGAAGGUAGGAGACGGUGAUUUAGAAACUUGGCAAAUGUCUGUUCUGAUUGUUUUCUUUUUUAAACUGGGAUUUGUAUCAGCAAUCAGUUGAAGUGUGUGUGUGUGUGUGUGUGUGUGUGUGUGUGUGCACGGGUGUGUAUAUACCCACUGACUCCCCACCCCCAGCAUUUCUGAUUCAUACUAGUCCUGGUGUUUUUUUAAAGCACAGUUAAUACGAGAAUUUGAUUUCCUGCGUGAGAGAGGAGGGUAGUCCUGGGAAAGACCGCUCGCCUUGGAUUCCUUAAAAAGCAACAAAAGAAGGGUGUGUUUUCAAGACCGGGUGAGUGGAGAGGGCUUGUUUGACUUCGGAUACUGCACUAUUGCCCUGAUUUCACUAAGUUACUUAUUUGAGACACCUACCAACUUCAUAUAUAUUUUUAUUAGAUGUCGACAAGGAUGGUAUAUCUGUGUACGGAGACCCUCUGUGCACAGGCGACUUCAUUUCUACAUAGCUGCUUUCUGGAAGCUUGCAGGUCCAAGGAGAGCAGAACACUCCAUGUGGAUGCAAGUUGAGAUGUUUGCUACCACUGGCAGUCUUUUCUCCUGUAACAGGUCAUUUGAAACUUGUUACAUCUGUGAAGAGGGCUGGACACGAAGGACUAGGAUUACUACUUAAGAAAUGAGGAUAGCGAAGCUCAUAAAGUUUGCUUGAUGCUCGAAUUGGUGCCUACCAGGACAUCAGGGCAGAGGAAGCAGUCCUUGAAAAGAAGUACUUUGGCAGGGCCUGGCUCAGGGAAGGGUCCCUUUCUCAGAUGAGUGUUUACAUGUCCCAUGGAUCACAGGGCUGUGUUUAAUGUACUGGCAGUUGGUUCCACAUGGACCCUCCAGGUGGGGUGCAGUUCCUUCCUUGGACAGAGGUUCCUGCUCCCCACACUCAUUGUCUCCAGGAGCAUCUGACCAGCCAUCGCCUUCAGGAGACCCUGCAAGCACGACCACCCACCUCCAACAAUCAACCUGGGUGUCCCCAAGGAUACCAUGUGACUCUGGGGUGUGUAGGAGACACGGGGAGCCAGGUCACGGCCUUUCUCUUUCUGUCGCCGCCGGCGCCAGGCGAACAGGCCCAACAGCACCACAAUGAGGAACAACAGGAGGACGAUGCCUGUGACAGCACCCACCGAGUGCCGCUCUGCACCCAGCGCCGGGCUGAUCUUGGUGUAGGGAUUCAGCUCCUCCAUCAUGAGGGCAGCUGUGAAGGGAGGGAGGACACGAGUCUGGGGGAGGCCUGCUUGCUCUUCAGAUCUUGGCCCAGGGCCUAGACUCCUCUAAUGUUAGGAGACCUGGGUUCUGGUCUUCGGCCCUAUUCUUCAAUCCCUGUGUGAUCCUGUCCCUCACCGCGCCUGUGUUCUUCAACUGUCUACAGCAGAUGGACUUCCAGGGUCACGACCAAGAACAAAUGUGAUCACGGAUGGCAAAUAAAAUAACAACAAAUGUGUACUGACUACUUUCUUCGAAAAAUGGGUUACAGAUACUAACUCAUUUUAUCUUCCCAGCAGCCAUAUGAGUAAGGACUAUUUAAUUAUUUCCCUUUCACAGAUGAAGAAACUGACUCACGGUAAGGUUAGAUAACUUGCCCAAGAUCAUAUAACCAGUAACUGGUAAAGUCCGGUUUCUCCGGAGUUCGGAAGAAUUGCACUCAGUGCAUCUCCCUGCUUAUCAGCUUUGUGACUCUGAGUCCUCAGUUUGUUCAUUUGUAACAUGGGGACAAUAAUCUCACCCUCCCCAGGGAACUGUGAGCACCAUAGGACAGACUGGCAAGAAAGCGUGCCAUUGUGCCCGAUGACUGCCCACAGCAUCCCUCUUGAUGAUACAUGAAUGGGCUAACUCUUCACACUGCUGCCAAGCCCAUGGUGGGGGCAUCCUGCCGCCCAGCAGAGGCUAGACCUUUCCUUGGCUAUCAGCAACUGGGUGAACGAAGCUAGUCAACAUCCUCGGGGAAAUGUGCUGCAUUAUCAUUCUCUGUGAUCAUCAGAAUACAAUAGAAAUGUCUUUUGGGCCCCUUUCUGUUAGGUGGAUAACUGAGCGCCCAUUAUCAUUCCCCAUCUUGAACAAACAACAGUGUAAUCCCUUAUUUGCACCAAUUCACGAGGGGUUUUUAUGUAUACAAAAUCAUUUAUUGAGUGCUUGCUUAUGUGCCAGGCACUGUGCUGAGUUCUCUACUAUCAUCUCAACCUGGUCCUCAUAAUUACUAUGGGGUGUCCUCUGACUAUAGAGCUGGAGCCAAGGUUGAGCGCCUUUGGACUCCUUGGCCCUCAACAGAACCUCGUGUUGUGUUGGAAGACGGAUUAAUCUACCCUUCCUACUUUGCAUGUGGAAAAAUAAGCCCGGUAAAAUAAAAUGACCUGUCCAGCAUACCUAGCCGGUAAUGGCAGAACCAGAAUUUGGCAUA